GGUUUGUGGCUCAGUGGUAGAGUGCUUGCUUAGUGCACGUGAGGCACUGGGUUCAAUCCUCAGCACCA
rnacentral:tRNA from 1 species